rnacentral:pre_miRNA from 1 species
GAAGACAGUCUUGGACUCCCUUCCCCGUCCUCCACCAAAAGAUGACUGAUUUCUUCUGGUGCUGAGAGUCGGCUGCAGCCUUCUAGCACCAUUUGAAAUCGGUUAUAAAACAGUGGGUCGAUACAU